CAGUGAACGUGGCCAGAAUUCCAGCUAUACACCAUGCGUGUUUCGUAGUGCUUGUUUACUAAAUGAAGCUGUAUAGAAUAUAAGGGGAUGGUACAUAAGAAGCUCCUGUUUAUGGACAGUAAAUAUAUCAAUCUAGGGCAGGGGUAGGCAACCUAUGGCACGCAUGCCAUGCACGGUCUUCAAGGCUGCCAGAGUCAAACAGGCUCUGGCUUAUUAGGAAUCCCAGUGAAACUUCAGAUUUCUCAGCCAAUGGUAAAAAAAUCCAUGUGUCAUCUGUGAUUAUGGUGCUUUGAGUGUCCCUUUAAUCGAACGUAAUUAAAGGGAUACUCAAUAAUAAUAAUAAUCCUUACGGUGCUCAUUGAUAAAUCAGUUAUCUUUAAUCUAUGUAACGUACUAUGGGUAAUG